GGAAACGACCCAACAAGUAGUAUUGCACCACUGACAUGGAGGAUGAAAAAACCAUAGAAAAAGUUGAUGUAGCACUUGAUACCUGAGGAGGAAUUCCCAAUUCUAGAAACAAUGGUCCCAAAAUGAACCCGCCUCCUAGACCAAGCAGUCCACCAACCAUACCAGCCAUUAUUCCAGUGGAACAGUAGAGACAGAUCUGAUGAAUCUUCCAAUGGGUUAUUUCCUUUCCCUUUGAUGCAAUCACUCUAGUUCCUUUGUACAAGCCUAUGGCUUCAAAAAGUGUAACGGAGACUGCAAU
rnacentral:sRNA from 1 species